CGUGGUGCAUACGUUAAUGCA
rfam:Beet virus Q genomic RNA 2